GUUGGCUGUAUGAUGUCAUCACAGAGAUCCUUGUAAGAUGGCAGUGGAGGGCCAAGGGCACAACAGAAGACAGCUACAUGGUGAUGGAAGAGAGGCGCUUGGGUGUGUACUCGUUCAUACCUGUGCCUAUGUGUGCACCUUUGUGGAGGCCGAAGGUUGUCUCUGUCUCACCAGCACUGGAGUGACAGAUGUACACUGCUGGCUGGGCCUGGCUUUGUAUGUGAGGUCAGGGAUCUGAACUCAGGGAAUCGUGCUUGCUCAGCAAACAUUCAACUCACCUGGGCAUCUCCUCAGCCCCCUGCUUCCAGUCCUUUAGAAAGCACAGCUACUUCUACCAGGCAGAGAAAGGCCCAGACAGGAUUCCCUCCUGUAUGCAGCCCAUGGGGCCCCUCAUCUUUGGACAUCAUCCGCGUUUCUUAAGAGACCACAGUGACUGAUGGCAAUGGCCCCAGUGUCACCUGCCAGCUCAGUUGUGACACUCAGUUCCAUUUCCCUCUGUAGCCACUGCCGUGACCUGAAGAGACACUGCUCUGCCAGGCCAGGAGAGUUCUCGUAAGGCCUUCUGGGACCUGAGAUUUACCCUUAUCAUGUCUGCUCAUUCACCGAGACACAGAGUUUGGCCAGCCUCCUCCCCCACUGCACUGGUUCUUUGCAUCGGAGCAGCCAAGUGUCUUAUCGUAUGUGAGAAAGAUGGGGAAGCCUGCUUUCUUCACUGCGCAUGGGCACCGAGGCCUCU